CAGGAGGUCCCUCUGCCCCAGAAGGACCCUCAGCCACCUCAUCAGUUGUUUGCCCUUCUCAUUCCAGAGCCCCACCCCUGCUGUAGAAGGUGCCAGUCCUACUUGUCACAGGAGGAGGUGGAACCUUCCUCCUGGUAUGUGCAGUUAGUUACCUGGUUCUAUCCUUCCCCUGUAAGAGACCCCUGACUGACAAUCCCCCCACUCAUCACUCUGCUGGGUUCUAAGUCCACCUGCUUUGAGUUCUGAAUCCACCUGCUUUGGGCUCUGAAUCCAUCUGCCUUGUGUGGGAACUCAGUACAUCACUCCGGAUGUCCAGAGCUACCGAGACAACCCUUGGGGGGCUCGGAGGCCCUGGAAUGUUGCCAAAAGUACCUGGUGGCUUGACUUUGAUCCUUUUAAAGAAAUGACACCUGAAGAGACAGGGAGGUGAUCACUCUACUCCACCCCAGGCCUGUCAGGCUCAGCCGUGUCCAGCUCUGGUCCCCACAGCUGGGAGGGACACAGACAGACUGGAGAGGAUCCCAAGGAGCACCACAAAGGUGGUCAAGGCCUGGAGACCCCUGAGGAGGAAGGAGUAAAGAGUGAGAUCUCCUCUCUGGGGUGAAGAGAAGGCUCAGGGGCAGUACCAUCACAGUAUUCCAGAACUUCAAGGGCUGCAGGAAGAGGACAGAAGUCUUUCCUCACAAGGAGCCACAGUAAGAAGACCAAGGGUAACAGACACCAGUUGUACUGAAACAGGUUUUAUUUUCUUAGUAAAUUUUUGUUUGUUUCAGUAAGAACAGUGAUCCAGUGAAACAACUUCCCCAGGGACAUGGUGGAGUCUGAAUCAAUGCAGGUUUUUUGAGAUGAGAUUGAAAUCCCCUGUGUGCCACCAGGGCAGUGCUACAGAAUUGUUCCUUGGGGGAAAAUGUUUUGAAAGGAAAGGUAAAAUGAGCUAUAUUUGUAUCAGCUAAUACAGGUAUGACAGAGCUGCUGGAUUUGCUAACAGAACUAUAUUAUAUAUUCUUGCUGCUUCAGAGUAUCAGCACUCAAAACCAACAAAACACUUCAUGUCAAAAAUCAGGAGGUUUGUUUUUUAUGACUAGCAUGCUAUUAAAGCAAUUUAACUACAAUAUAAUUAUCCCUGUUAUUGUUUCCAAUCAGAAAAGCUUAUCAAGUUGAAAGCUGAAAACAUUUCAAGACUUUCUAAAAGGGUUUUGUUUCCCUUUGGUUUGUCAGCAGUGCUUGAUUUCCUUUGCUGUAAAACAAUCAUUUAACCAAAAUAUGGAGUACUAUCUCCAUGUAAGAAAAACAGUUCAUUUGUUAUUGUUGUUUUUAAUUAAUGUUAAAUACAUGCAAUUAAAAUACUCUCAUUAAUUUCGAAGUUAAUAAAUUUCUCAGCUUCUUUCAAAAGCUGCUUUUAUCUUGUAUUUUCUUUUGUUUGCUAAACUUUGAAACAUUAGAGGCUUUUAGCAGUGAUUGCAAUGUUUAUAUACUUCAAAAGACAAAUGCUGUACAGGAUCAGAAGCAAUCAGACAUCUCCUUAGGCUACAUAAAAACCUAAAAGAAGAAUGUUCACUGUAAAAUGUAAAUCUCCAACGGUACAAAGAGCACCGAAACAAAUCCUAACCAGUUCAAAAAUGCGGGUUCCUUUUGUAUCCAUCAAGGAAUGAGAAUACUGCUUUAUACAAUUAUGUGACAAAACUGGGAAUAAGGUUUUAUUGAAAUGAAAAUAACAUGGCACGGUAUAGCUAAGACAUUAAAUGCUGAAAAUUUAAUAGUAAUUAAAUUUGCAAAAAAUUAUUAAGAGAAAUCAAGAGAGCACUUUAAGAUGUUCCCCUACUUACACAUUUCUUCAAUUUAUCCUUUAAUUAAUUUUUAAUAAUUUUUUAAUUUCUUAUCCUUUCUCUUUUGAAAUGUAAGUAAUGCUGCAGCAAAGUUACACUGAGCCAAACUGCCAGAUCAUCAUCCCUGCUCUGCACAUCCCAACUGUUCCUCUUUCAGCUGCUUAAUGAAAAUACACAUCCCCAUAAACCCAACUGGAAAAUGUGCAUGUUCUUCUCAGGGUGAGGGAUUUCACCUUCCUCAUAACCAGGUCCUCAGCAGGGGCACAGCCCAUUUUUGUUGGAAAGAGGAAACCACAGAGAUUCUCGGAGAACUGGCCCUGCAGGCAGGCACAGUCCAGAUGAACAGGGAGCCAAGAUAAAACAUCCUGCAAAUUUCUGAAUUUUUUACAAUCAGCUCUGUUCCACAACCACACAAAUCUUUUUUUGUGCUGACAGUGAUGCCUCUGGUAAAAGUUAUUGUGCAUGUGAUAGGCACAAAAGCCACAAAAAUAACUACCAAUAUUUGUAACUUAAUCCAGGAUUUAAACAAAUUUCUAAUCUUUUUACAAUGGCACAAUUACUGCACUGAAAGGCUUUAUAAUCUUUAUAAAAAGAAAAUUACUGAUUUUCCUAACAGGGUUUAAAAACUUUUUCUUGGUGGACCUGUCCCUGAGUAAAAGGGACCAAUCAGACAGUUCAUCACUCUGAGUUUAUGUUAAAUCAGAAUAGGAAAAGGAAAAACCACAACAGUGCAUUUUCCUCAGGACACUGAAACAGUGCUGGCUGCCAAGCAGAGCGUGUCAGAACUAAGUUUUGCCUGAAUUCUCUUUUGUUUGAGAAGGAAAUAAAACUAGUUUAUCUCUUCUGAAAAAUCAAUAUUACCAUCUAUGAGACUUGAUUCCUCUUUUGAAUAUGAAACUGUGCCCCAGACGAAAAAAGAUUUGUUCCUUCAGGACUUGAGGCUAAAAGACUGGUUAUCUCAAAUAAAAUACAGCAAUGUUCAGGUUUCCUUCACCCCAGAAGAUUCUCUAAUUUAACAAAAAAAAAAGAAAAUACUGUAAAUUACUCUUACCUAUUUUCUUAUUUCGUUCUUCCCCACGACUGUGUGCAAUAAUUGGAGAAUAUAUGAAGGGGCUUUUGGUUGACACAUUCUGACCAAGUAAACUUUUCAUUUUGUGGGGUCGGAGACUGGUUGGGAGGUUCAAGAGCUUCACAGAUCUGUUGAGUAAAAAUAAUUCCUAAUUAUUUCAUUUAUUCUAUUUUGUAACAGGUGACUGUGUUAUAAAAAGAACUGAUAAAUAUGAAAUAUCAGUCUGAGAAUAAAAUACCUGAAUUGGAACACCUGAAGCAAACAUUUACCAUAAAGGAAAUAACACCAACCCAAAGAAACUGCAGUUUCAGAAAGCUCUCAGAAAACAAAUAACAAAGGGAAAAAAAUCUUAUUUAGAAACAAAACCAAAACUAGCCAGAACAGUAAUUUGAAAUCCAGCUAUUAAUUUUUGAGUGCAGACUGAACCACAACUCCAGUGCAGAAAGCAGCCAAAUAUUUAACUUAAACCCAAAUUAAAAUCCAGACAAGAUUUCACUGGGCAACACAAAUAAAGAAACUUCUCCACAGUGAAUAAAGCUGAUUUUAAUACAGUGAAAAUGCAGAGUAGCUGCUGGAAAGAAGAAAAUGUCCCAGAACUUUGAGUGGGUUUGUUAAACAACCAGAAAGCAAUUACAAAUAGAAAACAAAUGAUUUAUUAGAUUGCAUCCCUGCUAGACCCAAUUCCCUACCAUGCCAUGCAGGGAAAUCAAUGCUCUUCCAGUGCUCAGGGGAAAGUAAAGACUAAAUUUUGGGCAGAAGAACAAGCAAUAAAUUGGUGGAUAUUCAGUAAAAUCAGCAGCAUUCUAUAAACCUGUAGGACACCUAAUUACUUCAAAUCAGGAACUCAGCACAGCAAAGAACAGAUAUCUCAGUAUCACACUAAUAGAAAGGAGACACACACAAGAACCAAGAUAAUGUGUUCUACUGAAAAAUAAUGAAGCUAUAAGAGUGGCACUACACAGACAAGUUCUCUCUGUGAAACAAAACACCUGAUAAGAAAUUACUAAAUAACACUAAAAGUAGGUUGAACAGGAAAUAAAUCACAUCCAUAUGUUACAUACUGGUGAUACUUAGUGUCAGUAUCAAAAUCAUAUGUAAAAUCACAGACACUGAGUCUGAGGAAUAAGAAGGAAACUGUAAGAGACCCCUGAUAUUUCAUAUUUUAAAACCUCUUCUGAUAGAGUUUUUUACAAAUUAGAAUGUAACUUAAAACAAAAAUGUGAAUUAUAUUUAUUUGAGGAAACAAACACUGAAUUUGAUAGAGAGGUAAUAAAAAGGAAUUUUAUUUUAUACACAGAGGAAAGUGCUUUGGCUCCUUCAUGGUUAUUACAUAAAUACUGGUGGAAAACCUGGUUUGCCUGAAUAGAUGACAGUGGAAGGAAUGUUCCUGAAAGACAUAUCAGAGAGCUGUACCCUCACAGAAAUUUUAACAGACAAGAAGGAGGAGGAGAUGAGCAGCAGCUCUUAAAUGUUAAAUAAAUUUGAUGCUGGGUUCCUCACUUAAAUGUUAAAUAAAGUUGAUGCUGGCAAAGUUGCCCCAUGGCAAAAUUGAAGGAGCUAUUUCCAACAUUCCAAGCACAGCCAGGUGAAGACAAGUAGAUAAUGCUUCAGCCUGAACAAGUUAUUAUUCACUGGCCUGACUGCUUGAUGUGCCUGAAUGGAACUGAGAUUUAGAACAGGCCAGUGAAGGUGCCAGUGUGACAAUGCAGCAUCUGGAAAGGGAGAGGUACAAAAAGCACCAUUUCCAGGUGAGUUCCAGGCUCUGUGGAUGGAGACUGCAUCCAACUCGUGGACCUUCAGUAUUGAAAAAAUCAAGUAUUCAACUAAAAUCUCAGCUGCAGCAAAAUAGCUUCCUUCAGUUGAAUAAAAAACUGUUGAAGGACAGUUCUUCAAAAAACAAAACUCCUCUCUUUCUGAAACUAAAGGUCACAAAGUAUUUUCUGGUCAAAGGCUCUAUUUUUGAUCAAGAGCUUCUCAAAACAAUUUGACAUUUUGACAUUUUUCCAUGUUCCUGUGAUCCACAUGCAUAAAGUGAGAUGACUGCAUCCUUUCAGUAUCCUUUAAAAUUUGACAGGUACUGUGAAAAAGUUAAAGAUUGUGUUUUGGUCUUACUUCACAAUAGGCAAUU